rnacentral:rRNA from 1 species
UGGGGAAUCUUGCACAAUGGGCGCAAGCCUGAUGCAGCCAUGCCGCGUGUAUGAAGAAGGCCUUCGGGUUGUAAAGUACUUUCAGCGGGGAGGAAGGGAGUAAAGUUAAUACCUUUGCUCAUUGACGUUACCCGCAGAAGAAGCACCGGCUAACUCCGUGCCAGCAGCCGCGGUAAUACGGAGGGUGCAAGCGUUAAUCGGAAUUACUGGGCGUAAAGCGCACGCAGGCGGUUUGUUAAGUCAGAUGUGAAAUCCCCGGGCUCAACCUGGGAACUGCAUCUGAUACUGGCAAGCUUGAGUCUCGUAGAGGGGGGUAGAAUUCCAGGUGUAGCGGUGAAAUGCGUAGAGAUCUGGAGGAAUACCGGUGGCGAAGGCGGCCCCCUGGACGAAGACUGACGCUCAGGUGCGAAAGCGUGGGGAGCAAACAGG